rnacentral:rRNA from 1 species
AACGAACGCUGGCGGCAGGCCUAACACAUGCAAGUCGAGCGAGGACUUCGGUCCUAGCGGCUGACGGGUGAGUAACGCGUGGGAACGUGCCCUUUGCUUCGGAAUAGCCCUGGGAAACUGGGAGUAAUACCGGAUGAGCCCUUUGGGGGAAAGUUUUAUCGUCGAAGGAUCGGCCCGCGUUGGAUUAGGUAGUUGGUGGGGUAAUGGCCUACCAAGCCGACGAUCCAUAGCUGGUUUGAGAGGAUGAUCAGCCACACUGGGACUGAGACACGGCCCAGACUCCUACGGGAGGCAGCAGUGGGGAAUCUUAGACAAUGGGGGAAACCAUGAUCUAGCCAUGCCGCGUGAGCGAUGAAGGCCUGAGGGUUGUAAAGCUCUUUCAGCUGGGAAGAUAAUGACGGUACCAGCAGAAGAAGCCCCGGCUAACUCCGUG